rnacentral:rRNA from 1 species
AAGUCGUAACAAGGUUUCCGUAGGUGAACCUGCGGAAGGAUCAUUGUCGAAUCCUACAAAAGUAAAUGACCAGUGAACGCGUUUCCAACUUGGGGAGGUAGGCAGUAAGUUUCAACCUUGUUGCUUGUCUCUCCUUCGGUCGAUUGGUGCCUUGCACGGUUCCCAGUUGUGCCGUAUAACAAAACAAAAAACCGGCGUGGGAAGCGCCAAGGACUAUGCUAAAGGAAUGCCUCCCGGCGGUCCAGUCGUUCGCGACCAUGGGACGUCGGGGUCAUGGCUCCAUUUAAAUCUAAAACGACUCUCGGCAACGGAUAUCUAGGCUCUCGCAUCGAUGAAGAACGUAGCAAACUGCGAUACUUGGUGUGAAUUGCAGAAUCCCGUGAACCAUCGAGUCUUUGAACGCAAGUUGCGCUUGAAGCCAUUAGGCUGAGGGCACGUCUGCCUGGGCGUCACGUAAUGCGUCGCUCUCUCGCAGCUCGCCCCAUACGGGACGAGUGUUGCUAAUGGGGGCGGAGAAUGGCCUCCCGUGUGUAGUUGCGGCUGGCCUAAAUUGAAGUCCUUCAUUGCGGGUGUCACGAUAAGUGGUGGUUGAAAAGCUCAAGCGAGUCGUGCGCACCAUGCGAUUGAGGUGAUGUUUUGGACCCUAAGGCGAUCUCGUUCCCAAUGGAGGAGCAUUCGUCACGAUCGCGACCCCAGGUCAGGCGGGGCUACCCGCUGAGUUUAA